rnacentral:tRNA from 1 species
GGGCGAAUAGCUCAGUGGCAGAGCACUUGCCUUACAAGCAAGGGGUCCCAGGUUCGAACCCUGGUUCGCCCACCA